UACGUAGGGUCCGAGCGUUGUCCGGAAUUAUUGGGCGUAAAGGGCUCGUAGGCGGUUUUGUCGCGUCGGGGAGUGAAAAACCUACAGCUUAACUGUGGGCUUGCUUUCGAUACGGGCAGACUUGAGGCAUGCAGGGGGAGAACGGAAUUCCUGGUGUAGCGGUGAAAUGCGCAGAUAUCAGGAGGAACACCGGUGGCGAAGGCGGUUCUCUGGGCAAUAACUGACGCUGAGGAGCGAAAGCGUGGGGAGCGAACAGG
rnacentral:rRNA from 1 species